rnacentral:rRNA from 1 species
GGAAGUGGGGAUGACGUCAAGUCAUCAUGGCCCUUACGGCCUGGGCUACACACGUGCUACAAUGGUCGGUACAAAGGGUUGCCAAGCCGCGAGGUGGAGACUAAUCCCAUAAACCGAUCGUAGUCCGGAUCGCAGUCUGCAACUCGACUGCGUGAAGUCGGAAUCGCUAGUAAUCGUGAAUCAGAAUGUCACGGUGAAUACGUUCCCGGGCCUU